CGCAACAGUGGGCAGGGCUUCCUCGCUCGGGUGUGAGCUAGGAGGCAACUACUCCUGUCUUGUGAUGCUGCGGAGCUUAGUUCUCCUGUAUGCCAACGGGCGCUGCUGGGCACCUAGAGAACAGAGACGGUUGCAGAUGAGGCAGGCGAUCGCGGGCUUUAGGGGUACCCUCUGUGGAGCAGAGGGGUCCUGGAAGCUCCUAAAAAAGAGUCAGGCUGGUGGUAUCACCAGCCUAAAUGACUUUGCCUGGUUCCUACAAGGAUGGAACCCAGGACCUCGUGUGUGGCAAGCAAGCACUGUGCUGCUGACCUGUACCCAGCCUACCCUUCUAUUUCCUACCUGUCCCUCCUAUGAAGAAGAUAGACUCUAGCCUGGAGAAUGGCCCCACCUCCACUGCCUGGGAUGGGGAAGUGAAGAGUGGCCGUCCUCCAUUGUAACAGCUGUCCUCUUAGAACCACUUUGCUUGGCUCUGGGAUCCUGGCUCUCUCCUGUACAGCCCCACGGGAAGCUCCCCACACCUCUCACAUGAGGACCGAAGUAUGCUUGGAGAGGUUCCAUCUCCCCAGUGGGGCUUAUGUCCUCUGUGGGGUGGACAGUAUUAGGUACUCACUCCAGAGAUGGACACCGUGCCCUGCUUCUGGGCCUGAGGUGAGAGGAUUUGGCAUGUACACUGUGGGAACAGAGCCAACACAAAGGCAUGCCUUGUGCAUAUCUGAACCCUAACAGUCUGAUGCUGCAGACUAUGGCCACAGCCAAGGGCUCUCUGAACCCGAGCAGACUGCCGCUGCACCCCAUACCUGUACACUGUGUGCAUUCUACAAAAAUGGCUGAUGUUGUGCAGACAUCUUGUUGCUUUUUGUAAAACAUCAUGAACUGAUUUCAUCAGAAGCAAGUGUGUAGACGAGGGAGGAGGAAGACAGAGACCCAGAAAUAAACAAUGGAAGAGACGCA
rnacentral:lncRNA from 1 species